GAUGAACGCUAGCGAUAGGCUUAACACAUGCAAGUCGAGGGGCAGCAUGGUCUUAGCUUGCUAAGGCUGAUGGCGACCGGCGCACGGGUGCGUAACGCGUAUGCAACUUGCCUCACAGAGGGGGAUAACCCGUCGAAAGACGGACUAAUACCGCGUACACUCUAUGUUGGGCAUCCAAUGUAGAGGAAAUGAAAUUCGCUGUGAGAUAGGCAUGCGUCCCAUUAGCUAGUUGGUGAGGUAACGGCUCACCAAGGCGACGAUGGGGAGGGGAACUGAGAGGUUGAACCCCCACACUGGUACUGAGACACGGACCAGACUCCUACGGGAGGCAGCAGUGAGGAAUGUUGGGCAAUGGGCGAGAGCCUGAACCAGCCAAGUCGCGUGAAGGAUGACUGUCUUAUGGAUUGUAAACUUCUUUUAUACGGGAAUAACAAGAGUCACGUGUGGCUCCCUGCAUGUACCGUAUGAAUAAGCAUCGGCUAACUCCGUG
rnacentral:rRNA from 1 species